rnacentral:rRNA from 1 species
CGCAGCCGCGGUAAUUCCAGCUCCAAUAGCGUAUAUUAAAGUUGUUGCAGUUAAAAAGCUCGUAGUUGAAUUUCGGGGUUAGUAGGUUGGUCAUGCCUCUGGUAUGUACUGGUCUCACUGAUUCCUCCUUCCUGAUGAACCUUAAUGCCAUCAAUUUGGUGUUUUGGGGAAUUUGGACUGUUACUUUGAAAAAUUGGAGUGUUUAAAGCAAGCUAACGCUUGAAUACAUUAGCAUGGAAUAAUGAAAUAGGACGUUCGAUCCUAUUUUGUUGGUUUCUAGGAUUGACGUAAUGAUUAAUAGGGAUAGUUGGGGGCAUUAGUAUUCAAUUGUCAGAGGUGAAAUUCUUGGAUUUAUUGAAGACUAACUACUGCGAAAGCAUUUGCCAAGGAUGUUUUCAUUAAUCAAGAACGAAAGUCAGGGGAUCGAAGACGAUCAGAUACCGUCGUAGU